CUAAGUAAGAAGUGUUAGAUGAAUAUUAACUUUUCCACAAUAGAAUAAUGAACAUAUAAAAAUCUCAUUGUGCCCGUUUAAGAGAAAACUUUUACCAUUUGUGGCACUAUACUUUCACUGGAGUAGUGGUUAAUAAAAAAUUAUUAAGCAAAGUAGCAUGUCUAUAAGGGUAUUUAAUAAAUAUGAUAGAAUGGCAGAAUAGUGCUCAAAAGGUUUCCAACAACAAAAAGUUGUUCUUCCAGAACCA
rnacentral:lncRNA from 1 species